AACGUAGGUUCCGAGCGUUAUCCGGAUUUACUGGGCGUAAAGCGCGUUCAGGCGGUUUGGCAAGUCGGGCAUGAAAUCUCUCGGCUCAACCGGGAGAGGUUGUCCGAUACUGCUGGACUUGAGGGCAGUAGAGGGUGGUGGAAUUCCGGGUGUAGUGGUGAAAUGCGUAGAGAUCCGGAGGAACCCCAGAGGCGAAGGCGGCAUUCUGGCUCGCAACUGACGCUCAGACACGACAGCAUGGGGAGCGAACGGG
rnacentral:rRNA from 1 species